rnacentral:pre_miRNA from 1 species
UGGACUAAAUUGUAGUAAUUGUAGAAGUUCAGGGACUAUUCUGUUAUUUUCCCUUUUUCACUAGUAUCUACAAGAUCUUGAUCUAGAAUAUAAAAUUACUCAUUUAUUAGCAUAUAUUUUAUUUCCAAACUAUUUUACAAUGAAUACCCUUUUAUUUUUUUGAAUUUAUACAAUUACCCUAAACUUUUACAUUUUUUGCAAUUUAAUCCC